AGUAAUGUCUGGGAAACUGCCUGAUGGAGGGGGAGUAACUACUGGAAACGGUAGCUAAUACCGCAUAACGUCGCAAGACCAAAGAGGGGGACCUUCGGGCCUCUUGCCAUCAGAUGUGCCCAGAUGGGAUUAGCUAGUAGGUGGGGUAACGGCUCACCUAGGUGACGAUCCCUAGCUGGUCUGAGAGGAUGACCAGCCACACUGGAACUGAGACACGGUCCAGACUCCUACGGGAGGCAGCAUG
rnacentral:rRNA from 1 species